GAGGAGGAGGAGGAGGAAAGGUCAAAGGUCAGCUGCUGCUCUCACAGCUGAUUUGAUUCACUUUUUUUCGACUUCAUCUGAUUUUUUAGUUUCAUCUCUUUUUUAUUUCUCCGUGUUUUUUCAGCCCUGAGCCCCCGUACCUCCAACUCUAAUCUGGGACCAGCUCCUCGCUCCUUUCCCAGAGUUUGGAGCGGCGGCGGCGGGGGCUACGGAGAGGUGGGGUUGGAGGGUUGGAGGGGCACACGGGAAGGAAAAGGAGUAGCUGGGAAAUCUCAUCAGGCUCCUCAGCAAACCAGAGACACCCAGAUAGGAUCUGGGCGUCGCUGCUCAGUCGUCCCGGGGUCGAGACUCCAGCCGUGGCGGUCCACCACGGUUUGGUGUCCGUGACGAUCUGGGCGUCUGAAACAGGAGAUG